GAGGAACCCUCUUUAUAUGAGGGCUUGUUCAUAGCCAAAGACGAUGAAGUUCUGGCCUUUCAGGAGAAUAUCAGAGGAAGCAGCGGGGCAAGAGCAAAUGACAAUGGGACAUGUGGGGUGUCAAGGUUCAGGGCAAGUAAGGAGGCCUCAAAGAAAUCUUCCUCAAAAUUGAUGAAGAGGGCAUACAGGUGGCAGUCUGCAGACAUGGGAUAUUAUUGCGAGGACUGAACCACUACCGUGGCGAAAUAUUUGCCUACCCCAUGUUUUUGAAGAAAGAAUUGGGAGAGAGGGCAAAUGUCACUUUCUUCUGCAUGGAUGUUGUCUGCAGGUACUGGCCCUACCUAAGCAAAGUGGUUGAUGAGUUUCCAGAUCUUCAGCCUUUGAUGCAUAUGAGACCAUUUCUCAGUGUAAUGCACGCCAAAGCACAUACAGCAAAAUGCGAGGUGAGAUGGGGUGGCAGAAAUCAGGAUGGAGCAGGGAACACAGUUGGAGAGGAAGUUGAACAAGUGAACAGCUUUCUCUCCAGGGCAGCUCUUAUCACAAAAUACAUGACAAAAGCAGGGAGAGAAAAUAUGCUGACGCAACAGGCCAUGGGUUGGAACAGAAAAAAGACAGAGAACCUCCACAAAGCUUUGGCCCAGAGAUACGUCACAUUCUCAGAGAGGGCAAAACUGGAAGCUGCCAGCCUCAGUGACUUUCAGCAAAAGCAAAACCUCACUCAGCAAACAAUAGAGCAGUGGGUGUUUGAUGUCCAGCAAUGGGCAGUCACAGAUCGAGUCUACACACAAGGGUGUACAGAGGACCUCAGGGCAGAAAUAGAGACCAUCACAGUAACCCUCCUACGCAAGAAGCAGGACCUCUAUCGUCAGCAUGAUAGCAACCAGACAAGACACAGCAAGCGAAGAAAACUUAGAGAUUUAAAAAAAAAACUAAGAGAUAAGGUCUUGCAGUACAACGCAUCUGAAGAAGAUGAAAUUGAUGAGGACUUGGCCUGCAAUUUGACGGAGGGCUACAUCCUGCCAUGGGAGAGAAGUGAAGAUGGCCACUCAUUCAGAUUGAAAAGGUCACUCUUUGACCGAAUUAUGCUUAAACGGUAUGAGGAGGAGCAGAGCAUCCUCAUCAAAGAAAUUACACAGCACAUCAUGUCAUUAAGGAAGGAGAUAAAGGGAGUGGAGAAACUCAAAGACAACAUUGGGAUGUUCGAUUUUGGUGACAUGUCAGAGGAUGCUGCAAAAGGUUUCGAAAGUGUCCUCAUGUGGAGGUCCACCGAACUGGAGAAUUCAUGCCAACAAGCUGUGAGCUCAUACAGUGCUAUAGUUGAUGAGUUAAGCCUGCCACACACAUAAAGAUAAUCGGGCUGAUUUUGCCCCGAUUUUCCCCCUUCCGAUCACGGACAGACAUCGCCCGAUUAUCUUAAGCUCUUAAGAUUAUUUUAUAAGAUUCUCUUGUAGUGUGUGGUGUGUUAAGAGUGAAAUUCGGCCGACAAUCGGCUCCGAAAUCAGUCGGCGCCGAUAAUCGUAAGUAUUAAACAUGUUCAAUAUUUACGAUUAUCGGCGGAGAACGUUGUGGUGUCAAAUCGUCUUGUGUGGGGGGGAAGCCGACAAUCGGGAGUCUCCAACGUGACGUAAUAUUGAAUUUAACCAAUAAAGAGCAAGCUGACUGAACACGGAAUUAUAACGAGCUAUCUCCAUGGCUACGAUAUCCCUGAAUACCACCAAUAUGGCGAAGACAGUUAAAGUUAGAUGGACCUCCGAUAUGGAGGAUAAACUUGUCGAACAUUGGCAAACACACGAGUGUUUGUACAAUAUUUCCUCAAAGUCCUACCACAACAGGAAUGACAAGGACAGGAGUUGGCAUGAAAUUGCCACCGCGAUGGACAUACCAGGUAAGAAAACAGUCUAGCUCCGGUGACCGUUACAUACGUUGUUUUAUUAUAUUAUAGUUAUUUGCAACAGAAAGUUUUAAUUGAAGUAAAGCAGGAAAACCAC
ensembl:lncRNA